GGCCGACUGGCGAAAUGGCAUCGCGUCUGACUACGAGUGUGUAAUCAGGAGAUUGCAGGUUCGACCCCUGCGUCGGUCA
rnacentral:tRNA from 1 species